rnacentral:rRNA from 1 species
UACGGGGGGAGCAAGCGUUGUUCGGAUUUACUGGGCGUAAAGGGCGCGUAGGCGGCGCGACAAGUCACUUGUGAAAUCUCUGGGCUCAACCCAGAACGGUCAAGUGAUACUGUCGUGCUAGAGUGCGGAAGGGGCAACUGGAAUUCUUGGUGUAGCGGUGAAAUGCGUAGAUAUCAAGAGGAACACCUGCGGCGAAGGCGGGUUGCUGGGCCGACACUGACGCUGGAGGCGCGGAAAGCUAGGGGAGCGAACGGG